rnacentral:tRNA from 1 species
GGGCGCGUGGCUCAGUGGUAGAGCGCUGCAUUCACACUGCAGAGGUCAUUGGUUCGAUCCCAAUCGUGCCCA